rnacentral:rRNA from 1 species
AUACGUAGGUCCCGAGUGUUAUCCGGAAUUACUGGGCGUAAAGCGUCUGUAGCCGGAUCUAUAAGUCUGUUUUCAAAUCCUAUGGCUUAACCAUAGAAAGGGAAUGGAUACUGUAAAUCUAGAGAUUACUAGGGGUUGGUGGAAUUUCCGGUGGAGCGGUGAAAUGCGUUGAUAUCGGAAGGAACGCCAAAAGCGAAAGCAGCCAACUAUAGUAAAUCUGACGGUAAGAGACGAAAGCUUGGGGAGCAAACAGGAUUAGAAACCCGAGUAGUCC